rnacentral:rRNA from 1 species
GACGAACCGUGCGAACGUUGUUCGGAAUCACUGGGCGUAAAGAGCGUGUAGGCGGUUCGGUAAGUCUGUCGUGAAAUCCUGAGGCUCAACCUCGGGCGUGCGAUGGAUACUGCCGGGCUAGAGGGUGGUAGAGGCGAGUGGAAUUCCCGGUGUAGCGGUGAAAUGCGUAGAUAUCGGAAGGAACAUCAGUGGCGAAAGCGACUUCCUGGACCAAUACUGACGCUCAUGUGCGAAAGCGUGGGGAGCAAACAGG